rnacentral:rRNA from 1 species
CUAGAAGAUGACGAGUGGCGCACGGGUGAGUAACGCGUAUACAAUCUACCUUUUACAGGGGGAUAGCCUUUAGAAAUGAAGAUUAAUAUCCCAUAGUAAGUAGUUUUGGCAUCAAGACAACUUUAAAGUUUCGGCGGUAAAAGAUGAGUAUGCGUUCUAUUAGCUAGAUGGUGUGGUAACGGCACACCAUGGCAACGAUAGAUAGGGGCCCUGAGAGGGGGAUCCCCCACACUGGUACUGAGACACGGACCAGACUCCUACGGGAGGCAGCAGUGAGGAAUAUUGGACAAUGGGCGCGAGCCUGAUCCAGCCAUGCCGCGUGCAGGAAGACUGCCCUAUGGGUUGUAAACUGCUUUUAUACAGGAAGAAACCUCAGAACGUGUUCUGAGCUGACGGUACUGUAAGAAUAAGGAUCGGCUAACUCCGUGCCAGCAGCCGCGGUAAUACGGAGGAUCCAAGCGUUAUCCGGAAUCAUUGGGUUUAAAGGGUCCGUAGGUGGAUAAUUAAGUCAGGGGUGAAAGUUUGCAGCUCAACUGUAAAAUUGCCUUUGAUACUGGUUAUCUUGAAUUAUUGUGAAGUGGUUAGAAUAUGUAGUGUAG